AGGCUUUGUGGAAUGUGACACUGUAUGUCAUGCUUUUAUUAGUUCAAGGUUGGAUUACUGUAAUGCUCUUUAUGUUGGUUUGAAUCAAACCUCCAUCUCACAUCUUCAACUAGUGCAAAAUGCUGCUGCUCUCUUUUUAGGAAAUGCAAGCUC